CUGGGGAAAUUGAAAAUACUGAGAAAAUACUGAGAAUUAGGCAUGCGUUUGGCUACCGAGAAGAUACUGAGGAAAUUGGAAAACAAGAAAGCUUCCAUGAUUUAUUUUUAUUUUUAUUUAUUUAUUUAUUUAUUUUAUAAAUGGAGAUUACUUAUCAAAAUAACCUUCUUUUCUAAACUUUAGUUGAGUUAUUGUUUCUAGAGGGCAAAUCAAGGGACAUUUACGAUGCAAAUCGUUCAUAUGGUUUUUCUCCCAUUGUAUUUUUUUAAGCAACCUAGCAGAUUGUAAGAAAAGGUUCCAUACCUUUUGAGUUUCUAUACUAGUGCACAAUCUUUGUGCUAAUUUCGUGGAAUUGAAAAGAUUUAUAAUCUGUAUCAUCAAUUAGUUGGUUGUGUUGAUUGUUUUAGGGUUAUCUAUCUGUAGGAUUGGAAAACUGAAAGAUACAAAGAAAUUAUCAGAUCUGGGACUUGUUGCAGGUAUCAAGCAUACGAUUAUGAGAUGACCUUUUGUAGAAUUUAUACUAUUAGCAUCUGAUGGCUUAUGGGAUUACAUGAACAGGUUUGUGGUUUCCUAUUUGAACCUUGUACUUACAUUCUGUAAAUUAUCUUAAACUAGCAUGAUAGUUAUUUAUUUAAUAUUUUUCUCAAUUAACCACAAGAUGAGUAUUAUUUGUGUUGUUUAGCCGGACCUGUUUUAAUAGCAAUCAAUCCCUUCAAAGAUGUCCAUUGUUUUGGAAAUGAUUUUAUCACAGCUUACAAGGAGAAGCUUUUUGACAAUCCUCAUGUUUUUACUCUAGCAGAUAUUGCCUAUAACGAAAUGAUGAGAGGUGAGUUAAAUAGUACUUGCAGGGAUUUUGAAGAAAAAAACAGGGCUCAUAUUCAUCUAUUUAUUCUUUGCUACUAAAGAAUCUAUUUUGCUGACUCUACUCUUAUCAUGGAUCAUGCAGAUGAAGUGAAUCAAUCCAUCAUCAUAAGGUUCCAACUAUGAAGCAAUGGAUCCAGAAUUACAAUAGGCUGUUGCCUCAGCUGCGAGCAACUUGUGUCUCAUGGAUGGAAAAAGAAGGAAAAGCUGCAUCACAGUUCUAAUAUCAUCAGUUGUCUUUUGAAUUAGUGUUGAGGAAGGUGUCCUGUGGAGAUUGAAGCUCUGGAGAUUCCUUCCACUCCAGAUGUGGUAUAAAGCUACACUAAGAGAUAGAAAUGGUUACUGUCAGUGUUGAUGGUUAUGUGCUAGAUUGAAUUGCUAAAAUUAUGUCAUAUCUUCGCCUUGGAUCAUCUGGGAAGGUUCUCAAGAAAAAGAAGAAAGAAAGAGAAGUGAAAGGAAGGAUAGCAAUUAUUGGCAAUGAAUAUGCUGAAGAUGAGAGGGUGUCAAAGCCUGACGGUGAAAUUUUAAAGAAUAGAACUUACAGAGAAAACCUACCUCCACCUCCCCCACCUCUGAAGCAGGGACAUCCUGAUUCAAAAGAGAACCAAGGCCCUGAAGUUUCCAGAGCUGAAGAUGGCAACAUUUUUGUGGGGGAAAUUUUGUUACCUGCACUCUAAAGAUGAUGCUUCAAUCUUGUUACCUGCAAGACAGGAAUGUAUUGUGUAAUACAUUGGCAUGAAAUUUUGUUUGUUCUUCUUGAAUGGCUAUGCGAUGUAUUGCGCUGUGUCACGGUCAGAAUUUACUUGGCACCAUAUUUAUGUAUGUUCUCUCGAAACAAAUACAUUUGAUUUUUUUUUUCUUUUUUGUAUUUGUGUUUGUAGUUGAAGGCCUAUUUUCCUUUUGCUACUGUACUUGCCAAGGUGUUUAUGAGGGCUUAUGCAUCACAAAAUUAGCA